GUGCUUGCUUCGGCAGCACAUAUACUAAAAUUGGAACGAUACAGAAAUUAGCAUGGCCCCUGCGCAAGGAUGACACGCAAAUUCGUGAAGUGUUCCAUAUUUUU
rnacentral:snRNA from 1 species